AUGGACUUUGCACUCAAGGAUUUGGGCAGCCUUCAUUUUUUUCUUGGGAUCGAGGUGAAGCAGGUGGCUCGUGGCAUUGUUCUCUCUCAAGAAAAAUAUGUCCAAGAUAUCCUUGAGCGGGUGGGCAUGAAAGGUUGCAAACCUUCUCCAACUCCUCUGUCUACCUCAGAGAAGUUGUCUCUUCAUGAUGGAGAGACCCUUGGAGCAGAAGACUCCACUAGGUACAGAAGUGUGGUUGGAGCUUUACAGUAUUUGACUUUAACCCGGCCUGAUAUAUGUUUUUCAGUCAACAAAGUUUGCCAAUUUCUUCAUGCACCUACCAGUACUCAUUGGACAGCAGUGAAACGCAUCCUUCGGUAUCUUCAGGCAACCAAGAGUCAUGGUCUUACACUUGCCAAAUCAGAUUCUACACUGGUUAGUGCCUUUUCAGAUGCAGAUUGGGCAGGUUGUCCUGAUGAUCGGCGGUCCACUGGAGGCUUUGCAGUGUUCUUUGGUGGAAAUCUGGUUUCUUGGAGUGCACGUAAACAAGCCACUGUGUCCAGGUCAAGCACAGAAGCUGAGUACAAAGCCUUAGCAAAUGCAACUGCUGAAAUCAUUUGGGUGCAAAAUAUGUUGACAGAACUGGGUAUUCGUCAUUCGCCUGCAGCCUCACUUUGGUGCGACAAUCUUGGAGCCACGUAUCUUUCAGCCAAUCCUAUCUUUCAUGCCAGGACAAAGCACAUUGAGAUUGAUUAUCACUUCGUUCGUGAAAGGGUUGCUAAUAAGCUGCUAAACAUUCAGUUUAUUCCUACUGGUGAUCAAGUAGCGGAUGGCUUUACUAAACCACUAUCGCUGCGGCAGCUGGAGGUCUUUCGACGCAAUCUCAACUUAGAUAGUUGUGAUUGA
rnacentral:rRNA from 1 species